AACAUCGCGCACCUGCGGGAACCUGCGGAAGGAUCAUUACCGAGUGAGGGCCCUCCGGGUCCAACCUCCCACCCGUGUUUAACGAACCUUGUUGCUUCGGCGGGCCCGCCUCACGGCCGCCGGGGGGCACCCCGCCCCCGGGCCCGCGCCCGCCGAAGACACCUGUGAACGCUGUCUGAAGUUGCAGUCUGAGACACUAGCUCAAUCAGUUAAAACUUUUAACAAUGGAUCUCAGAUCGG
rnacentral:misc_RNA from 1 species